AAUGAAAAUAAUAACAAUAAAAAUACCUAUAAUAUCAUAAAUAAUAAAAUCAUAAUAUCAUUAUAUUAUCCAGGUUUAUACAAUUGUAAUUGCUAUCUCUAAAGCUAUGGUGAUGGUUUAUAUUUUAGCCAAUUUAAAAAUCAACCUGUUAUACACAGGGUAUAUACAAAUGAAAAUAACAUAUUGAAUUCUGGUGUAUUUUUGAAGAACAUUUUUUUUUCAAAAAGUAUUAAAGUUUUUGUGUGCAAGAAAAGAAAACUAAAGAUUUUCAAAUUAAAGAAAAAUAUGCAUCAUGUUUUCGAUAAUAUUUUUGUGUAUCUUUUUACGUAACAUGGUUUGAUCAAUUUUUACAAUGUUCCCCAUCUAAAUUGGCAGGAAAAAAGUUUAUAAAAAGUAUACAGUUUUAUAGCAAGUUAACAAAUCUACUUUUAACGAAGCUUAAAAUAAAAAGUUUGCAAAAUAGUGUAUGUAUAAAUUUAUGUUCUGUUGUUGUUCAUUUACUUUUUGUUCAUAAACAAGUAUAUGAAUUUGGAAAUGGAAAUUUAGUUCAACGCCAAUAGCAAUUGUGAUAAAGUAAUUUAAGAUCAUUUAAAGUUUAGUCAAGCAAGCACCUGAAAAUGGUCAACUUUUUGUUUAAUAUAGAUUGCUGUUCCAAAUACAAAUUGCAGAUAUGAUCCAAUACUUUAUGUCAAGCAAGGUUCAAAUUUUAAACCAAACAAACUUACUAUCUGUUGAUCUUCUACUUUGUUUUGAAGUUAUGAGUUCAGAUAGAUAUAUGUUUUGUUCAAAGCAGAUCAGCCAACCAUAUAAAGGACAGAUAAAACUGACCCUCAUCUCAGGCUUAAGGGUCAAUUAAUGCAAUUUAUCAAAAGCUUCUUUUGAAGUAUGCAACCCUGAUGUCUUGAUGGGCACAAUCACAUGGAAGUAAUGUAAUAUUAAAUUAAAUAUUAAAGCAUAAAAUUUGCA